AUGUGAAAUAUAUAUGUGUGUGCGCGCGCUCCAUCCCCACGAAAAACUAGUCAAAACAAUCUGUUAUACGCUACUUACAAGCACAAGUAACUUGAGUCUAAAAGAAUAAAGUUUCUACAUGCGGGAACACAAAGGAUGACUAACAUGCAAUUUGAACUUUAAACUUGCUGCUAUGAAGGAGAAUGAAGUUCUCUUUGUAUUUGUAAUUAUUUUUUUGUUGCUUAUGGGAGAUAUUAGCAGAUUAGCGGACAAGAUAAAGAAUUGGGAAAGACCAUGAAUUAGGGCUUCAAUCAAUAAAAAAGGCCUUGACUUUUAAAUUUAAUACAUUUGAGUUCCUUUUUAUACCUUUUGAGUAAUUACCAAGCUGGCUUUUGAGAAUUUGGGUAUUAUAUAAAGGACUUAUUCAACAAAAUUUUGUUUUAAUUUGAAAAAGUCUAUGGGGCUUACGCCUCACUAAAAAAAACGCGCCUCAAACGUCCGGGCGUACGCACCGAAUUGCUGGGCAUACGCCUCUUGAGACUUUCGCCCCACACCAUCGCCUCGGGGCGUUUUUGGUGGGCCUCGCCCCAGGGCUCGCCCCAAGAACGCCUUUUUAAACACUGGUGCAGCCCAUCCGGUCCUGGAGCUUUUAGUGGUUGAAAGGAUUGAACAGCUCGAUGAAUUUCUUGAGUAGUUAGAGGCGAUGACAUGCUGGAAAGUUGUGAUGGUGUCAAGGGAUUAGGAGAUUGAAGUGUAGUAUUUUGUUGAUGAUCAGUAUGAGAAGUAGUAAAUAAAUUUUGAUAGUACUAUUCAAUUUGGCUAUUAAUAGUGUGUUGGUCGUAUAUCCAGUUCCCCACUGAAUCUUUUAAUGCAGUAAUUUGAUUUCGUCUCCGACGCUUGAUUGUUGUGAGGUGGUAAAAUUUUGUGUUGGCAUCUCCUUGUUGUAGCCAAUUUAUAUGGGAUUUUAACUUCCAGAAUUCUUCUUCCAAUUUUAAAAUGUCAUUGUAUUGGCCUAUCAAGUCUUUUUCCAGCUGUUGUAAAAAGGAACUCGUAGGGUAGACAUUUGAUGACUGAAUCCCUUUUAAUCUGGCUAGGAGAUUUCUUUUUUUCCUAAAUAUGUUUCCAAAUGUGGAUCUAUUCCAAGCUGACAUCUUUUGUAAAGUCUUCUAUAGCAAAUAAAAUGGGUUUGUUAUUCGUCCAGUUCCUUUUGAUAAUUGAGAUAAAUUGGGGAUGACUUUGCCAAAUAGUUUCAAAUCGAAAUGUUUUUUCUGUGGUGGCAUAUUUUUUAUUUAAUUGGAGUAAUAAAGGACAAUAGUCGGAAUGAGUUCUAGGCAGGUGUUGCACUAGAGCUUCUGGAAACAUGUUAAUCCAUUCAUAAUUAGCUACAAAACGAUCUAGUCGUUCUAAAAUACAAUUUGUUAGAUGUCUUUUGUUUGUCCAGGUAUACCUACUACCAGUGUAACCGAGGUCCACAAAAUUACAAUAGUUUAAGCAACGAAUAAAUUUGUCACAUCUAUUAUUAUUAAGAGCUAGACCUCCGUAGGUCCACAAAAUUACAAUAGUUUAAGCAACGAAUAAAUUUGUCACAUCUAUUAUUACUAUUAUUAUUAAGAGCUAGACCUCCGUAUUUCUCUGCUGCUUUUGUUACUUCAUUAAAAUCCCCCCCCCCCCCCCCAAUUAGCCAAGGCAACUUUAUAGUAUCAUGUAAUUGCCUUAGGUUUUCCCAUAAAAUAUUUCGAGAUGGUAGGUCAUUUUUGGCAUAGAUAACUGAAAAAAGCCAAGUAUGAGGUUUUGGUUGUACCUGGACAAUCGAAUGAAUUUCCUGUUGUGUCACUGCAACUUGGUCAAGUUUGAUAAUAUCCUCCUUCCAUAGCAAAGCAAUUCCCCCCCGCUGUACCCAUGGCUGGUGAAGCCAAAUUCAUCUUUAAGAGAGGCGUGUUCCUGAAGGGAGUCUCCAAUAGUGCUACCAACAGUGGAUUGUGGUAGUUCAACAAGGAACGGAAAUUCCUUUUGAAGUCUGGCGACUGUGCUCCUCUGCAAUUCCAGAUGAUGAUCUGCAUGGAUGAGUUAUUGGGUGACGGAGGGGAGUGUGUCAUGUUCUCCUCCUGUAGUGUUGUUGGCUGUGGUAUCAUUGCUGGAAUCAGGACUAUUGCAUAUUUUCCCAUGGUUGGAUUUAGUGUGGUUCGUAUAUUGAGGGAACAACUUUGUAACUCCUGGGGAAAGACGAUGAUCAUUUUUUUUUUGAAAACUGUUCUUUGAGCGUGUAAGUUCUGUCCCCAUUUAGGUAAUACAGGAUUGGCCUGGUUUCUCGUAUCUCUUCCAUUGUUGCAGUCACUUCUAGUUGCGCUUCUGCUUCGAGUUCUGAUGGAGGUGGAUAUUGCAUGGGGGUAGGGCUGGUGGGUGGUGUGAGUGGUUAGUAUGGGGAUGCUUGUGCAUGUAGUGGUGGUGGUGUUGCUAUCAUCGAUCAUUGUUGGAUCCAUGGGACGAAGGUCUGUUGGGGCAUCUGGGGUGGAUAGAAGGGUAGUUCCGGUGUGUUUUGUGGUGUUUGGUAGGGAAAGUAGAGGAAUGGUUGGGUCUGUUGUGGUUGCAUGUGGGGGAGUGGCGCUUGAGUACUUAGCAUCUGACCAUAGUGAGGAAAAGUAAUCACAUGUAGAGGGUUUAGCAGAAGGUGCUCUUCUUAAUUCCUAUAUUUGUUUGUGUGACAUAGAUACUGUCAGGAGAUAUUUGAAAAUCUACAGUCAAUAAAUGAUGUUUCUAUUUUAGAAAGUUUCUUCUUAAUUUAAUUUUUUUGUAAAUUUAAUAUAAUCAAAUUCUCCAAGUCCACUAGAUGUGGAGGUUUAACCUACAGUACUAAAUGAGGAGGUUUAACCUACAGUACUCUUUCUAAUGUCAUAUUUCUUGACUUAUUUUGAUCACAAUGUCAAAUUUUUUUAUAGGACACUAGCAUGCAGCCAAGGUGCCAAUGUGGUAGGAUAUCAUAUGGGAUAGGUUGGACUGAAGGAGAAAUCCACAUACUUUAGCAGGGCUGUGUAAGUUGAGAACUCCAUCAUAAGAGAAGCCUUCACCAUUUGAGAAUAUUGAAUGCUUUUGCAUUUCUAUUUGUAGCUUUUUUAAGAUACAAGUCCAUUGUGGGAACUCACUGGUUUUUUGUUAUUGUUGUUGUUAAUCUUUGGGAUGUAAGCAUUUUUUGCAACUGUAUUUCAUCCUAGAUUUUUUAAAUUCAUUGUCCUACACUUUUGUCUGUAGCUUCUUUUAGUUACAGUUUGUGAAGAGACUGAAGCAUCUUAUGCAAGUGUAUAGCAUCUUGGAUAUUUUAGAUUCAUCACUUUUGUAUUUUCUUGGAAGCAGUAUUUGUGGUAAUGAUCCUAAUAUGGUUGAGUGUUGUUGAUCAGUUUCCUUGAAUUUUAUUAUAUACCAUACCAUGGUGCUCAUUUUGAUAGGCGCUAACAUUUUAUUGUUCAAGUUACAUAAAUGAUUUUUGAGAAACGAUUGUGGUCUAAAUAUGAGCAAAUACGGGAUAUAAGUGAUUACACCUUACUUCUGUAUUAUGUAAUUGAUUGUCCUGGUUAUAAUGAUUAUAUAUAUGUAGGUUCUAUGAAUUUGAAAAUUGUCUAUAACGAUAUGUUUUGAAAUUUAUCUAGACAUGAAUUAAAUUGUUUAAUCAAAUGUCCGAUGAGCGUUUGAGAUUUUGUGGGCCCAAGACUGAAGUUUUUGACCUCGUGACUGGAAGGAUUGGGGGAAUAACAGUCAUUUCCAGAGCAUGUUGAGAUAUAUUCUGACUCCACCUAAAUGCCUAGAGCAUCCUAGUCUCCUCACUUUAGCAUUAUUUAGGACAAAUAAUCUGAAGAACUAUCUAUAUAUGGCCCUAACUUUGUUCUGUCUUCCUAGCUAUAUUAGUGUCUUUAAUUAUGUCUUUCAAUUAGACUUGUUCUUCUAUAUGUUCAAUGCUUGAUUUUUUUCUAAAAUUUAAUACUAUCUCAAAAUUUAUAGAUGAAGAGGAGAAGUGAAAUGAGGUUGAAAUCGUUUAGGGCUGUUUUUUAAUAGGGGUUCACUUUGGAUCGGGUUAUGGGUAGAGGAAAAAUAAAUCAGGUAAAAAAAGAUGAGUCAUUUUAAUCCUGUGAGGGCACGUGUCAAUCCGUCUAAUUCGGGGUAUAUCUGAACGGUAGGAGUUGAGAUAACUAAAUAUUAUAAUGAGGGUAUUUUAAAACAUUUUUUGAUAGUACAAGGGUAUAUUUGAUCCUUUUUCAGUUUAAUUAUUGUUAAAUUUCAAAAUAGUAAAAAAUCUAAAUAGGAAAAAAAAAGAAUAUGAUAAUUAAUUUUUUACGAUAAAUUUUUGGGGUUAAGAUUAUUGUCUUGCAAGGUGGCUCUCUAUCUUAAUAAUAAAAUAUAUUUUAAUGGAUAAAAAUAAGGAAUUGGAAGUCUGUUAAUUUUAAGGGGCAAAUAUGAGUUAGUCCACUCAUGAUAAAGGCAUAUUUAGGACCAAAGUCAACAAUGGAGGACAAACUUGUUCUAUUUCUCAUAGUUGAGGGGGCAAAUAUGAACCAAUCUACUAAUGAUAAGGAUAUCUUUGAGAUCAAAUACAAAAUAAGGGCAAUGUGCUCUAUUUCCCAUAGUUGAGGGGUAUUUUUUGCCCUUUUCCAUUUUAACUAUAAUUUAAAAUUAUUCUUCAUUAUACUUUAGGGUAGAGUUCUGUCGGAAUCAUGGGCAUACAAUUUGAUAAAGGUAAUGGCAUGAAUGGCUCGAACUAUAUUAUAGAAGAUAAAAUUAAGAUUAAUUUGGAUUCACGAGUAAUUAAUUACUUUAUGUAAUGGGUCCGACUAUCGCAGUGUAUAAAUAAUUACUUUAUGUAAUUAAUUACUUCAUGUCAAAUAUGAUCUCUAUAGAGUAAUUAAUUACUCUCUCCGUUCACUUUUACUUGGCACGUUUUGACUUUUUACGCUCCUUAAGAAAUAAUAAAUGAAGUACAUAAUUUACCAUGAUACACAUAUUAAUUGAUGCAUAUUUUAUUGGAUUUGAGAAAAUAAUUUGAAAUAAAUAAUAAAUACUGUGGAUAUAACAGGAAAAAAAAAUUAUCUUCUAUUGAUAUGCGUAAAGUGACAAGUAAAAAUGAAAAUCUAUUUUUAGUAUACAUGCCAAGUAAAAGUAAACGGAUGUAAUACUUUAUGUAAUGAGUUCGACUAUUGCGGAGUAUAAUGAAUUUAAGAUUAUAUUGAAAAGUUUAUUGAUAGGAAAAAUAUCACAUUAACUUUUAAA
rnacentral:lncRNA from 1 species